rnacentral:lncRNA from 1 species
GUUAAAGAAAGCCGUGAGGAUCCUGGAAUGCGAAGUAGACUCUGCGAUCGUGGUGAAACCAUGACCGUAUUGAAUAAUAUGAAGGUAUUUCUUUUCUACAUUUAAUAUAUAUCAUUUGUAUUUGACUUACAUUCUCAUGGUUGUUUUUGUUCCUGUGAUGGGGUGACAGGGAACAUCAUCGAUCCGAGGAAUCGUAUUUGACGUCAAAAAGAAGUUUGUGAGGACGCCAAGUGCAGUUGAAAUUACGUCGAGCAAUCUACAAAACAAUCUGAGCAUCAACUCUAUGUUCAAUUACAUUAAGAGUAAAAUUGUGAAGUUUCCAGCAGAGGAAAAGCCAAAGAGUUCUGAAAUCACCAUUCCCGUAGAACCUUUUGUGCCAAUGUCGAAGUUGAGACUUCUUCAGAUUAAUCACGUGGAAUUGGAAGGAAAUCUUAAACUCCUCCCAUCUGAACUCAAGUGGUUACAGUGGAGAGGUUGCCCAUUAAAAAGUCUUCCAC